GAGUCGCCGAUCGCGCGAGGUCCCGCCCGAGCAACAAGUCCUGGGGUGGGGAGAGCCCCGAGGGCGGCGGGCGGCCGCGACCCCUCCUCAGCCCCAGCCCCGAGUCGGGAAGGUUGGUUCUGGGGAGGAGCCUCCGCGUGUCCUCAGAACAAGGCGAUGGCCCAGUCGUGAGGCGAAUCCGUGCUAAAGAAGCCACUUCAGUUAAUGCCUCACCAUUGACACAAAAAAGAGGAAGGUUUCCAUAUUACUCAAAUGAAGCCAUUCGUAGUGGCCAAGCCAAUUGGACCUUUAACUGACCUCUGUGUUCAACAAAAAAGUCAACUAAUGUUCUGGUAACAGUUGCUGAAGUGUGGAAGAAAAAUGCAGGGAUCCAAAGAAUGGCCCCAUCAAGCUUUUUUAAACUGAGAAAAAAGUUGUUACGGUCCUGAAUGGUCAAAAGAUUGUUGUAAUAUUUCUCCAGGAUGCUGGGGUUGAAGGUGGUAAGGUUGGUUUUCCUUCCAACAUCUCUUUGGAAAGCCUCCGUAGGGGCGAAAUUGCAACGGAAAACAAAAUCUGAUUUAUCUAUUUCUUGUCCACACUGGCUCCCUGUCAGGAUCCCACUAUUUCCAACCACAGCACAAAUAUUAUAAUGCUUAUUCACAAUGGGUGACACAUCUGGAAGGAGUGAUCGGAAGUUAUUGCUAAUAGAGAAAACAUAUUUAUGGCUGGAAUAAUCAUAGUGCAUCAGUUGUCCAAUCCGAACACUAUUCUUGGUCAAAGAAAAAUUUUUUA